AAUGGGCGAAAGCCUGAUGCAGCAACGCCGCGUGAGCGAUGAAGGUCUUCGGAUCGUAAAGCUCUGUCCUCAAGGAAGAAUUUUGACGGUACUUGAGGAGGAAGCCCCGGCUAACUACGUGCCAGCAGCCGCGGUAAUACGUAGGGGGCUAGCGUUAUCCGGAAUUAUUGGGCGUAAAGGGUGCGUAGGCGGUCCUACAAGUCAGAGGUGAAAGGCUACGGCUCAACCGUAGUAAGCCUUUGAAACUGUAGGACUUGAGUGCAGGAGAGGAGAGUGGAAUUCCCAGUGUAGCGGUGAAAUGCGUAGAUAUUGGGAGGAACACCAGUUGCGAAGGCGGCUCUCUGGACUGUAACUGACGCUGAGGCACGAAAGCGUGGGGAGCGAA
rnacentral:rRNA from 1 species